AUUGAACGCUGGCGGCAGGCCUAACACAUGCAAGUCGAGCGGAGCGGCGGACGGGUGAGUAAUGCCUAGGAAUCAGCCUGGUAGUGGGGGAUAACGUCCGGAAACGGGCGCUAAUACCGCAUCCUAACAGAUGAGCCUAGGUCGGAUUAGCUGGUUGGUGGGGUAAAGGCAUAACAAGGUGACGAUCCGUAACUGGUCGGAGGGGAUGAUCAGUCCCACUGGAACGGAUACACGGGCCAGACUCCUACGGGAGGAAGCAGUGGGGAAUAUUGGACAAGGGGCGAAAGCCUGAUCCAGCCAUGCCGCGUGUGUGAAGAAGGUCUUCGGAUUGUAAAGCACUUUAAGUUGGGAGGCGUUACCAACAGAAUAAGCACCGGCUAACUUCGUGCCAGCCGCCGCGGUAAUAC
rnacentral:rRNA from 1 species